rnacentral:rRNA from 1 species
GGGUCCGCACAAGCGGUGGAGCAUGUGGUUUAAUUCGAUGAUACGCGAAGAACCUUACCUGGGCUCUAAUGCGAGUGACCGCUCCUGAAAGGGAGCUUUCCUUCGGGACACGAAGCAAGGUGCUGCAUGGUUGUCGUCAGCUCGUGCCGUGAGGUGUUGGGUUAAGUCCCGCAACGAGCGCAACCCUAUCUUUAGUUGCCAGCGAUUCGGUCGGGGACUCUAGAGAGACUGCCUGCGCAAGCAGAGAGGAAGGCGGGGACGACGUCAAGUCAUCAUGGCCCUUACGACCAGGGCUACACACGUGCUACAAUGGUAGGUACAGAGGGCAGCUACACAGCGAUGUGAUGCGAAUCUCAAAAAGCCUAUCGUAGUCCAGAUUGGAGUCUGCAACUCGACUCCAUGAAGUAGGAAUCGCUAGUAAUCG